rnacentral:rRNA from 1 species
AGUGAACGCUGGCGGUAGGCCUAACACAUGCAAGUCGAACGGCAGCACAGUAAGAGCUUGCUCUUACGGGUGGCGAGUGGCGGACGGGUGCGGAAUACAUCGGAAUCUACUUUUUCGUGGGGGCGAACGUAGGGAAACUUACGCUAAUACCCCAUACGACGUACGGGUGAAAUCAGGGGAUCUUCGGACCUUGCACGAUUGAAUGAGCCGAUGUCGGAUUAGCUAGUUGGCGGGGUAAAGGCCCACCAAGGCGACGAUCCGUAGCUGGUCUGAGAGGAUGAUCAGCCACACUGGAACUGAGACACGGUCCAGACUCCUACGGGAGGCGGCAGUGGGGAAUAUUGGACAAUGGGCGCAAGCCUGAUCCAGCCAUACCGCGUGGGUGAAGAAGGCCUUCGGGUUGUAAAGCCCUUUUGUUGGGAAAGAAAAGCAGCAAGUUAAUACCCCGCUGUUCUGACGGUACCCAAAGAAUAAGCACCGGCUAACUUCGUG